AUAAGAGGUCCCGCCUGCCCUGUGACUUAUUAGUUUAACGGCCGCGGUAUUUUGACCGUGCGAAGGUAGCGUAAUCACUUGUCUUUUAAAUGGAGACCUGUAUGAAUGGCAUAACGAGGGCUAAGCUGUCUCCUUUUUCUAGUCAAUGAAAUUAAUCUCCCCGUGCAGAAGCGGGGAUGAGAGCAUAAGACGAGAAGACCCUAUGGAGCUUUAGACAAAAGGUAGAACACGUUAAAACAGCUGGAACAACAGAACUAAUCAAGUGAUUUUUACCCUUAUGUCUUUGGUUGGGGCGACCACGGAGGAACAAAAAGCCUCCGCGUGGAAUGGGAACUCCCCCCUCAAAGCUAGAGCGACAGCUCCGAUAAACAGAACUUCUGACCAACAAGACCCGGCAAAGCCGAUCAACGGACCAAGUUACCCUAGGGAUAACAGCGCAAUCCCCUUUUAGAGCCCAUAUCGACAAGGGGGUUUACGACCUCGAUGUUGGAUCAGGACAUCCUAAUGGUGCAGCCGCUAUUAAGGGUUCGUUUGUUCAACGAUUAAAGUCCUACGUGAUC
rnacentral:rRNA from 1 species